rnacentral:rRNA from 1 species
CCUACGGGUGGCAGCAGUGGGGAAUAUUGCACAAUGGGGGAAACCCUGAUGCAGCGACGCCGCGUGAGUGAAGAAGUAUUUAGGUACGUAAAGCUCUAUCAGCAGGGGAGCAAAUGACGCUACCUGUCUCAGUAGCCGCGUCUAACUACGUGCCAGCAGCCGCGGUACUACGUAGGGGGCCAGCGUUAUCCGGAUUUACGGGGGGUAAACGGAGCGUAGACGGGAACGCGAGUCUGGAGUGAAAACUGAUGGCUUAAACAUGGAACAGCUUGGGAAACUGGGUAGCGUGAGUGCAGGAGAGGUAUGCGGAAUGCGUGGUGUAGCGGUGAAAUGCGUAGAUAUUAGGAGGAACACCAGUGGCGAAGGCGGCAUACUGGACUGUAACUGACGUUGAGGCUCGAAAGUGUGGGGAGCAAACAGGAUUAGAUACCCCAGUAGUC